AAGAUUUUGCAAAUUCAACAUAUUGCAGGAAGUAUGUAGGCCU
rnacentral:ncRNA from 1 species